rnacentral:tRNA from 2 species
CCGCCAUUAGCUCAUUAUGGAAGAGCGUACGACCAUUUCAGUUGUAGGUUCGGGGUUCGAGACCUCGAUGGCGGACCA